UUUUUUCCUUGUCUCCAACACAGAUACAUUCGAAGACUAUAAAUUGUUAUACGAGGGUGUAAACUUAUUUGAAUAAAUUUCAUAAGUUAAAACUAUCUUUCAGAAUGAUGGCAGCUGCCCUAGCUGCAUUUUGUGCACGUUUGGGAUCGUUUGCAGGAAAUUGGAUAUUUGGUUAUUUAAUAGACAAUUAUUGUCUACCAUUGAUACUCAUAGUAGCGGCACAACUCUUCUUAUGCUCUAUACUUAGCUUUCUUACACCCGGAAGGUUUGGACAAACAAAAGCAAUGGGGAAUACAUAAUUCUAAAUAUUUCGUCGAAGUAUAUGUAUCUAACCAUGUACGUGUGUAAGAUGAAUAUGAAUUUUUUAGACGUA